rnacentral:rRNA from 1 species
AUUGAACGCUGGCGGCAUGCUUUACACAUGCAAGUCGAACGGCAGCGCGGGCUUCGGCCUGGCGGCGAGUGGCGAACGGGUGAGUAAUACAUCGGAACGUGCCCAGUAGUGGGGGAUAGCUCGGCGAAAGCCGGAUUAAUACCGCAUACGACCUGAGGGUGAAAGCGGGGGAUCUUCGGACCUCGCGCUAUUGGAGCGGCCGAUGGCAGAUUAGCUAGUUGGUGGGGUAAAGGCCUACCAAGGCGACGAUCUGUAGCUGGUCUGAGAGGACGACCAGCCACACUGGGACUGAGACACGGCCCAGACUCCUACGGGAGGCAGCAGUGGGGAAUUUUGGACAAUGGGCGAAAGCCUGAUCCAGCAAUGCCGCGUGUGUGAUGAAGGCAUUCGGGUUGUAAAGCACUUUUGGCGGGAACGAAAAGGACUGUGCCAAUACCACGGUUCGAUGACGGUACCCGCAGAAUAAGCACCGGCUAACUACGU